UCCGCCCCCACGUGACAGCGAAGCAGAGCUUUCCGUCACUCUCAUCACCCUACCCACCUCCUCCCUCCGCCGCCGCCGCUUCCCUCCGCCGCCGCCGCCGCCUCUCCUGCCGUCGCCAUGGCAGCAGCGCCCACCGGCGGCCCCGCCGUCACCGCGUCCUCCUCCUCCUCCUCCUUUCUCUCUCCGUCGCCGUUCUCUCUCAAGUACCGAGCGAUCAGCCACCGCCGACCCGCGGGGAGAAUGCCUGUCACCGUCCGCUGCGUCAGUAGUCUGCCGGCCGCCGAUACAUCUUACAAGACUAGUGUCCCGCGCAAUGCCAACAUGGCCAAACUCCAAGCAGGAUAUUUGUUUCCUGAGAUUGCCAGGAGAAGAGCAGCUCAUUUGCUGAAGUACCCUGAUGCUAAGAUUAUAAGCCUUGGGAUAGGUGACACUACCGAGCCCAUUCCAGACGUCAUAAGCCUUGCGUAUUUGAUCUACUCUGCUUACAUGAAUUAACUUCUAAUUUUUCAAUAAGAUGCGCAGCUUAAACUAAGGGCAGCAAUUGCUGCAACCUACUAUUCGGACCUUGGUAUUGAAGAUUCAGACAUAUUUGUCUCUGAUGGUGCCAAAUGUGAUAUUUCUCGUCUCCAGGUCCUUUUUGGAUCUAAAGUGACGAUUGCGGUCCAAGAGCCAUCGUACCCUGCAUAUGUUGAUUCAAGUGUUAUCAUGGACCAAACUGACUUGUAUCAGCAAGAUGUUCAGAAGUAUGGGAACAUUGAGUACAUGAGAUGCAAUCCUGAAAAUGGAUUUUUCCCUGAUCUGUCAACUGUCCCACGAACAGAUGUAAUUUUCUUUUGUUCGCCCAACAACCCUACUGGUGCUGCUGCAUCUCGGGACCAACUAACAAAACUAGUCAAAUUUGCUAAGGACAAUGGGUCCAUCAUUGUCUAUGAUUCUGCCUAUGCUAUGUACAUAUCAGAUGAUAGUCCAAAGUCCAUCUUUGAAAUUCCUGGAGCCAAAGCGGUUGCCAUUGAGACAGCAUCGUUCUCAAAAUAUGCUGGGUUCACUGGUGUCCGUCUAAGUUGGACUGUUGUCCCCAAGGAGCUUCUUUUCUCAGAUGGACAUCCAGUUGCUAAAGAUUUCAACCGAAUAGUCUGCACUUGCUUCAAUGGUGCAUCAAAUAUUGCUCAAGCUGGUGGCUUAGCUUGCCUCUCUCCAGAGGGUCUGAAGGCUAUGCGUGAUGUUGUCGGCUUCUACAAGGAGAACACUGAAAUAAUUGUCGACACAUUUACAUCGCUUGGGUUCAAUGUGUAUGGUGCCAAGAACGCUCCUUAUGUGUGGGUGCAUUUCCCUGGUCGCAAUUCGUGGGAUGUGUUCGCUGAGAUCCUCGAGAAGGCAAACGUUGUCACUACUCCUGGCAGUGGAUUUGGACCAGGCGGCGAAGGCUUUGUGAGGGUCAGCACAUUCGGCCACAGAGAGAACAUCAUUGAAGCUGCUAGGAGAUUAAAGCAGCUGUACAAAUGAGUACCAUCACAGCUUCUGUAUCGUACUGGAAGGACGGUACCAAUAAGAUGACAGCUGGAUUUGGAAUGCCAAAUCCGCUCAAUGAAGCUACCAGGAGAUAUUAGAAGUGAAACUUGAUAAUUUCGUAGGCUUUUUUUUAUGGUGUUACUCCAUUCAAGCCAUUUCCAAUUUUGAAAUAAUGCUUCUUGUAUCCUUGAGACAUUUAAAUCACCAAUGGUUAUAUGGCCUAUGUUCUUUCCCUUA